rnacentral:rRNA from 1 species
AUUUUGUAUAUCGUUGUUAUAAAAAUAUUUUCUAAUAAUAAUUAAUAUUUAAAAAUUAAUAUAUAAAUUUAAAUCAGAUCAAGAUGCAGAUUAUAAUUAAGAAUAUAAUGGAUUACAAUAAAUUUAUUUAAAUGAAUAUUAAUUUGUAAUAAUUAAUUAAAAGUGGAUUUAAAUGUAAUUUUAUUUAAUUUAAUAAAAUGAUUAAAAAUUAAAAUAUGU